AUGCAAGUCGAGGGGUAACAGAGAAAAGCUUGCUUUUUUGCUGACGACCGGCGCACGGGUGCGUAACGCGUAUGCAAUCUACCUUUUGCUAAGGGAUAGCCCAGAGAAAUUUGGAUUAAUACCUUAUAGUAUGAUGACUUGGCAUCAAGAUAUCAUUAAAGGUUACGGCAAAAGAUGAGCAUGCGUUCUAUUAGCUAGUUGGUAUGGUAACGGCAUACCAAGGCAACGAUAGAUAGGGGUCCUGAGAGGGAGAUCCCCCACACUGGUACUGAGACACGGACCAGACUCCUACGGGAGGCAGCAGUGAGGAAUAUUGGACAAUGGAGGCAACUCUGAUCCAGCCAUGCCGCGUGCAGGAAGACUGCCCUAUGGGUUGUAAACUGCUUUUAUACAGGAAGAAACACCUCUACGUGUAGAGAUUUGACGGUACUGUAAGAAUAAGGAUCGGCUAACUCCGUGCCAGCAGCCGCGGUAAUACGGAGGAUCCAAGCGUUAUCCGGAAUCAUUGGGUUUAAAGGGUCCGUAGGUGGAUAAUUAAGUCAGAGGUGAAAUCCUGCAGCUUAACUGUAGAAUGGCCUUUGAUACUGGUUGUCCUGAG
rnacentral:rRNA from 1 species